rnacentral:rRNA from 1 species
UACGUAGGGUGCAAGCGUUGUCCGGAAUUAUUGGGCGUAAAGAGCUCGUAGGCGGUUUGUCGCGUCUGCUGUGAAAACGCGAGGCUCAACCUCGCGCCUGCAGUGGGUACGGGCAGACUAGAGUGUGGUAGGGGAGAUUGGAAUUCCUGGUGUAGCGGUGGAAUGCGCAGAUAUCAGGAGGAACACCGAUGGCGAAGGCAGAUCUCUGGGCCAUUACUGACGCUGAGGAGCGAAAGCGUGGGAGCGAACAGG